rnacentral:rRNA from 1 species
GCCCGGCUUGCUGGGUGCUCGAGUGGCGGAACGGGUGAGGAGCACGUGGGUGAUCUGCCCCUGACUUUGGGAUAAGCCUGGGAAACUGGGUCUAAUACCGGAUAUGACCUUACGGUUGCAUGAGCGUUUGGUGGAAAGCCUUGUGCGGUUGGGGAUGGGCCCGCGGCCUAUCAGCUUGUUGGUGGGGUAAUGGCCUACCAAGGCGACGACGGGUAGCCGACCUGAGAGGGUGAUCGGCCACACUGGGACUGAGACACGGCCCAGACUCCUACGGGAGGCAGCAGUGGGGAAUAUUGCACAAUGGGCGCAAGCCUGAUGCAGCGACGCCGCGUGAGGGAUGACGGCCUUCGGGUUGUAAACCUCUUUCACCAGGGACGAAGCUCAUGUGACGGUACCUGGAGAAGAAGCACCGGCCAACUACGUGCCAGCAGCCGCGGUAAUACGUAGGGUGCGAGCGUUGUCCGGAAUUACUGGGCGUAAAGAGCUCGUAGGCGGUUUGUCGCGUCGUCUGUGAAAUUCUGCAGCUUAACUGCAGGCGUGCAGGCGAUACGGGCAGACUUGAGUACUACAGGGGAGACUGGAAUUCCUGGUGUAGCGGUGAAAUGCGCAGAUAUCAAGAGGAACACCGGUGGCGAAAGCGGGUCUCUGGGUAGUAACUGACGCUGAGGAGCGAAAGCGUGGGUAGCGAACAGGA